GCCUGUGUGGAGCAAAUGGUUAAGUGCUUGACUACCAGUCAAGAGGUUGGUGGUUCAAACCCACCCAGAGGCU
rnacentral:tRNA from 1 species